UCAAAGGUUUUAUUUGGAUGCUAUUAACUAUAAGACUUCCCAAAACCACAAAAAUAUUAUUUUAAAAUUUAU
rfam:Hordeum vulgare subsp. vulgare, WGS project CAJW01000000 data, contig: morex_contig_76912